AAAGGGACUUUUACAGUGCACCGAAAGGUUUACAAGUGCUGAGUGGAAGCUAGGAGGGCAGGCAGCAGCAAGCUUCCAGCCCGCAGGCUCCAGUGAAUAGGAUAAGGCUUCUUUGUUCCAGACUCCACCUACCUACCUCAGCCACUACACGCGGAUACUUAGAAAUCAGUAUUUAAAAAUAAUAAUUAAAAAAAAAAAGAAAAAAAAAAGGGGGGCACAAGAGAUUUGCUUCAGUUACGCCCGCCUGGUGCCAAGCCAAAGAAUUGACAUGGUUAAAAAGUCAAUGUUGGCAAAAGUGAACAACACACAACAACGUAGCCUUUCUCUGGCUUCCGAGUACUGCAUGUGCGUCGAACAGCAGCUGGAGUUUGUUGAGACACUUUUGCUUUGUUCUCCCACCAAAGUCUGACAGCCCCGUGACACUGACGGCCUUGUUGCGAUUGGACGACAAAAGGAGAGGCGACCUUCUGAGGCGCCGCCCCUGAGCGGAGGUGUCAGGUGUCCGUCUGCACCGAUGGGGCAACUAAUACCGUCUGUAGGUGCGGUAGACCACUUUUUAAAAGGGUUUUCCGAGCAGAAACAGACCGGCGGCAUCUGACAAGGACGGCCAUUUGCGGCGCAGAUCCCCUCCGCAAGCUGUUUGUUUACUAAGCAGCAAGCAUGAAACGCAGCAGAGUUUGGGCCAUCCGCAUCGCCGCAAUAAAUAACGAUGGCGGCGGUCCCAUGACUGACUCCAGAGUGCUGGAUCCUCUGCCCCCCUCGAGACGGAAUGUGGGCAAAGUGGGCCAUGUAAGUGGUGGGGACUUUUUAGGAUUUCAUAGUUCGAAGUAAAAGCAAGUUGACAUGGCACGAGUGGGUAAUAAAUUAUGACAAAUUGUUUUUGUUUUUUUAAGAUUACAUAGAUCAGCCUCUUAAAAUACACGAGUAGAGUUGAUCUGGCAGAUCCACUGUACUCACAACUGUGCGGCGAACAGACGGCUCAUCUUGGCCACGUGCUCGUUGUCGUCCAUGUCGCUGUCCCCCUGCUCCCCGCUCAGCUUCCUCUUGGUGGGGCUGAUGGGUGGCGGGCCCGUCCUGUGGCUGGAGAUGGAUGACGAAGAGGAGGAUGAGGAGGAGGAGGAAGAGGAGGAAGACGAGGACAGGGAGAGGGACUGCAGUCGGGGGUCUCCUCGCAAGGCUGCUUCUCCUAAGAAGAGGAAGACAGAAAAAGAAGCUUAAAGGAAAGUUUCAAGUCCCAAACAACUUUGUGCCAUUUAGAGUUCGCUGAGUGUUUAGGCAACAGUUGUGUUGACUCGGUUUGCGCUUCCAGAAUUAGCGGUGGACUGUUUCGGAAACCUGCGGACGGGUUCUGCUUGCGGCUGUUUGUGUGCAUUUCUCUGACUGACCGAGUCCACCGCCCCACAGUCUCGUCCCCGGUCCACAAGGCCUCCUGAGUAGCCAGUGAGUGGGAGCAAAGAAAGACGAGAAUGAGGGAAAAGUACCACUGGCUUCGUCUCAGCUCGGGGACUUUCCACUGCUUUGGAUUCAUGCAUCUGCCUGAAUUUUCCCAAACAAAACAUACGAGUCGAAGAAAAAGACAGCUUCAGCUCAAAACUCUCCAUAACUACUCCCAAAACGGAGACAAACAAAAAGUUUGUUGCUAACACCAAACUCCCAAAGCGUUACAAUAUCAAACUGCAGCCUCUGUCACGCGGAGCUCGUCCGUGCAUUGAAGGUGGAAAACUGCUACGUCCUCUUUGUACACUCAUUCCACGUCACUGCGAUUGAUAUAAGACAGGGACAUAGAAAAGUUUGGAAAAUGCAGGCUUUUUAUAGCUCUCUAUGUCAGAAAUGCAUAAUAGCUCCAGUGACUUGUGACAUUUUGUGGUCAAUGCUCUUUUUAUACUGACAUAAAUACUGUGGAAACUUGUUUGAAAUGUUCUUUUUCAGUGAAAAGUCAUAAAUCAUCAGGCAAAGAGCAUAAGUCAUUUUUUCAUGUACUUACUGUCAAAAUAUCAAUAACAAAUAGAAAUGUUCUCUCUCUCAAAAAAAAAAGAACUUUUUUUACAUCUCUCUGUUCUCCAGAUCAGGGGAAGAUAAAAAUGUUGUAUUGAGACAACUGGACUCUUGUUGUUUAAUUAAGUGAGCUCAAAAUGGCUGCUCACUUUUGCUAAAUUAAUCAACUUGAAUCAUUGGAAGGAAAAUACAUGUGCGUCAAGUUUCCAUUAUGACGCUCAAAACAACUGGUUGCCUUUGAUCGACGUCAACUUUAGCCAACUAAAAAUAAGAAAUGAUUCUUCUAAGCAGUAAGCAUGCCGCAAAAAAAUGGAAAGUGGGCCCACGAGCCUGGCCUCCCAAACUCCCAGUGGCAUGCUCCUGCUCGGCCCACUGUGCGCCAUGGCAACAGGGAUGACAUCAUUAUAUUUGACCAGGCAAUAAAAAGGAAGAAGAGACUUGCGACAGCACACCGUCCAAUCAGGAUGCAGGAUAUUGGCAAGGGAUGGGCACAAUGUUUGGAUAGGCUCGUGUUUCUGAUCCAAAUUAAUUAAAGACACUAGAGUGGAACCUCAAAAGUAGAACACAAUCUGUUCAAUGAUUUUGUUGACUCUUUGAGUCUAUCAUCACACUUUAUAUGAUAUAGAAUGAACUAACUGUGCUACUGUAUGGACUUGCACAUUUGAACUUUCUUUUGAAUGUUUUGUAAUGGGCAUAAGUAACAAUUAAACAUCUUUAUGGCUGUUAGAGAUGCACAGAUGACAA